UACGAAGGGGGCUAGCGUUGUUCGGAAUUACUGGGCGUAAAGCGCGCGCAGGCGGCUAUCCAAGUCAGUGGUGAAAGCCCGGAGCUCAACUCCGGAACUGCCAUUGAAACUGUUUAGCUUGAGGACGAGAGAGGUGAGUGGAAUUCCCAGUGUAGAGGUGAAAUUCGUAGAUAUUAGGAAGAACACCAGUGGCGAAGGCGGCUCACUGGUCCGGUACUGACGCUGAGGUGCGAAAGCGUGGGGAGCAAACAGG
rnacentral:rRNA from 1 species